CUCUGCAAUAUCAAGAUAGACACCAACGUUUGAAAAUAACCACAUUGCAUUAAGAAAAUAUAGACUUCAAAUGUCUUCUCAUCUCAUAGUCCCUGUGAAUGUAGAACUUGCACUGUGCCUGAAAUAUUACCUGGACAUGACAGACAACCUCAAUACAGUUUCUCCAGCACAGCAAGGAGAUGGAGGGCCUUCUCUGGCUGGUACGUUAGCAGGUACAGAUCCACCAGCAAGAAGCAGACCGCCAGAGCAAACUUCUCUUCUAGGACAAAUAACACCAUCAAGCCAUGCUAAACUGUUGGGCUGCAAAGGCCGAUUCAUCAGGAACAUUGCCAGUUGCUGUGACUAAUGUUCCGCCAUUGAAAUGACGCUGAAGUAAACAAAUCUGAAAGAGGGGCAGCUCGUGACGCAGAUGCCAUUCAACACAGAUAAAUAGUAC